rnacentral:rRNA from 1 species
UACGUAGGGUCCAAGCGUUGUCCGGAUUUAUUGGGCGUAAAGCGCACGUAGGCGGCUAUCUAAGUCGGAUGUGAAAUCCCUCGGCUUAACCAAGGAAGUGCACCCGAAACUGGAUAGCUUGAGUACAGAAGAGGAUCGCGGAAUUCCCGGUGUAGAGGUGAAAUUCGUAGAUAUCGGGAGGAACACCAGUGGCGAAGGCGGCGAUCUGGGCUGAUACUGACGCUGAGGUGCGAAAGCGUGGGGAGCAAACAGG